rnacentral:lncRNA from 1 species
AGCACGAAGUGGAUGUCGGCCUGAUCUCGGACUAUGCCAAGUUCCGGAGAGAGAAACUGAAGAAACAUGGAGCUGCAGCUCAAACUCCAGCAACUUCUUCUGAGCCGAGAGGGAUCUCCUGAGCUUGAAGUCAACGAAGUCUGUACCUGUCCACAAAACAGAAGAAGAAAUCUCGUGAUCUCAUUUGUUUUCUGACGAAAAAUUCUUGUUCAACGCGUUCUUCAAUAUAUCUCAAGAUACCAAAACAACGCAGCAAAAUGUAUGGCAUGGAAAAAUUAGUGUACAAAAGAAGCUGCAGCAAUGGAUCAACAAUUUUAAUGGUGAUCAAGAUAAUGAUAUAUAUAUAUUCUGGUGCUCUUGUAAUGCUUGAGUAGAAUGGUUGGUGGUCGCAUUGUCAAUGCAGUUGAAUCAUAAACAUUGCACGAGCUGCAGGCAAAUCUCACAGUCGCGUUGAUGAUAAGAUCUGAACCUGGAAUGCAUCCAACCUUACCACUGAUGGUCUUUGCUUUGGUCAGAGAUUAAUACAAACAUAAAGAGGGCAUGACACAAACAAGUAGAAGCUGAGACGAUAGGAAAAGCACGGUUCAUUUGAUACGCUGCCGUGCCGGCACAGCGUGGCACUCGCGUGCAAUCGUACCUCAAUCUGCCUCCUUGAGAGCCUUCUCAUCUCCGUUCCUUGCGAGUCUCAAGAAAUCGAAUCAUACAGGGUAUGGGCGUCCGAGUGCCUCCUGACAGGAGUUCUGACAGAUCGUUGCUGCCUUCUUUCUACCGGUGCUCGUCGUUCUUCUUGCUGUAGCAUUGCCUUCGGCAGCAGGGAAACAAGACGGAGCCGAGUAGGGAAGGGUCAAUUGACGAGUCUUCCGAGUUGACGGCAGAAAAGCCGUCGAAGGGCAAGGACGCCGCCAAGGUGAUGGCACAACCGCAGGCGCUUUGGGAGAAGGCGCCUGCCAUAAGACCUAUGGACGGUCAAGAUUAUCUCCCAUAAUAUCCAUCAGCACAUCUCAAUCGUUCAUUGAUGGUAGAAGAACUUAUGUCAAAUCACUGUCUCUGUCUCGAGUAACGGCGGCAAAUUCAUACGGCAAGGCGGGGGAAGGGAGAGAGCGAGACCAGAGCGACGAGAGAUCGGCAUGGCACCCGAGCCCGAGGAUGACACCAGCGAGAAGAACCCUCGCCCCCUCGACGAGGACGACAUCGCCCUCCUCAAGACCUACGUGAGUUGCCCUUCCUCCGCUGCGUCGCCCUCCUCUUCCUUCCCUCUCUUUGAUCUGUCAUCUAAGCUUCUCUUCCCC